CUGUUUCUUCUUGUUCUAAAAUAUAUUGAAUUUUUUUUUUAGUUUUUUCUGUUUCCAUUUAUUUAAUAAAAAAUUGAUUCAUAGUUUGGUGGACUUUUAUUUUCAACUAAAGUUAUUUUGUUUAUAAAAAUUAUAGAUUUUCCAUUUUUUUUUUUAUUUCGUUUCUUACUCUAUUUUCUGUUUCUUCUAUAAGUUUUUUUCUUUCAUCUUCUCCUAAAGUAGUUAAACUUUUUCCUUUUAGGAAAUUUUCCAUUUUUCCUUUUUGGGAAUUUUUUUUCAUUUCAUUAAAUUUUUCUUGCUCUUCUAAAAUAAGUUUAAAUUCUUCUUCACUUAUUUUGUUGUCAGUUAAAGAC
rnacentral:lncRNA from 1 species